UCGAGAAUCUUCCGCAAUGGGCGAAAGCCUGACGGAGCGACGCCGCGUGAUUGAUGAAGUCCUUAGGGACGUAAAGAUCUUUUCUCGGGGAGAAGUUUAUUGAUAGUACCCGAGGAAUAAGAGGUUGCUAAACUCGUGCCAGCAGCAGCGGUAAUACGAGUGCCUCAAGCGUUAUCCGGAAUUAUUGGGCGUAAAGGGUGUGUAGGUGGUUUUGUUAGUCUCCUGUAAAAUACUUCGGCUUAACCGGGGUGUGUCGGGAGAAACGGCAAAACUAGAGGGUGCGAGAGGUGUACGGAACUCAUGGUGUAGGGGUGAAAUCCGUUGAUAUCAUGGGGAACACCAAAUGCGAAGGCAGUACACUGGCGCAUUCCUGACACUGAAACACGAAAGCGUGGGGAGGCGAACGGGAUUAGAUACCCCGGUAGUCCACGCCCUAAACGAUGUCCGCUAGC
rnacentral:rRNA from 1 species